UAGCUCAAUUGGAUAGAGCACCUGACUACGGAUCAGGAGGUUGGGGGUUCGACUCCC
rnacentral:tRNA from 1 species